rnacentral:rRNA from 1 species
GAUGAACGCUGGCGGCGUGCCUAACACAUGCAAGUCGAGCGAACAGACGAGGAGCUUGCUCCUCUGACGUUAGCGGCGGACGGGUGAGUAACACGUGGAUAACCUACCUAUAAGACUGGGAUAACUUCGGGAAACCGGAGCUAAUACCGGAUAAUAUAUUGAACCGCAUGGUUCAAUAGUGAAAGACGGUUUUGCUGUCACUUCUAGAUGGAUCCGCGCCGCAUUAGCUAGUUGGUAAGGUAACGGCUUACCAAGGCAACGAUGCGUAGCCGACCUGAGAGGGUGAUCGGCCACACUGGAACUGAGACACGGUCCAGACUCCUACGGGAGGCAGCAGUAGGGAAUCUUCCGCAAUGGGCGAAAGCCUGACGGAGCAACGCCGCGUGAGUGAUGAAGGUCUUCGGAUCGUAAAACUCUGUUAUUAGGGAAGAACAAAUGUGUAAGUAACUAUGCACGUCUUGACGGUACCUAAUCAGAAAGCCACGGCUAACUACGUG